GAGUUUGAUCAUGGCUCAGAUUGAACGCUGGCGGCAUGCCUUACACAUGCAAGUCGAACGGUAACAGGUCUUCGGAUGCUGACGAGUGGCGAACGGGUGAGUAAUACAUCGGAACGUGCCCGAUCGUGGGGGAUAACGAAGCGAAAGCUUUGCUAAUACCGCAUACGAUCUACGGAUGAAAGCAGGGGACCGCAAGGCCUUGCGCGAACGGAGCGGCCGAUGGCAGAUUAGGUAGUUGGUGGGAUAAAAGCUUACCAAGCCGACGAUCUGUAGCUGGUCUGAGAGGACGACCAGCCACACUGGGACUGAGGCACGGCCCAGACUCCUACGGGAGGCAGCAGUGGGGAAUUUUGGACAAUGGGCGAAAGGCCUGAUCCAGCCAUGCCGCGUGCAGGAUGAAGGCCUUGG
rnacentral:rRNA from 1 species